rnacentral:tRNA from 1 species
GAGGGUAUAGCUUAGUGGUAGAGCACAUGGAUGAGGUCCUGGGUUCAAUCUCCAGCACCUCCA